ensembl:snRNA U1 U1 spliceosomal RNA
AUACUUACCUUGCAGGGGAGAUACCAUGAUCCUGAAUGUGGGUUUCCCAGGGCCAGGCUUCUCCACUGUGCUCAGGAUCUGCUGACUCCUGAAAUCUGAAAUAAUUGUGGGAAACUUGACAGCAUAAUUUGUGGUGGUGGGGACUGUGUUUGUGCUUUUCCCUG